AUGUUUAGAGUUGCUGAGACAACUCUUCCAGUUUCAAAAAUUCCAGAAUAUCCAGCAAACACCCAUGGACAGCCACCUUCUCCGCAGUAUACUCUAUCUUUCUGGCAUCCCUCUCGUCGAAUUCAGGGAUCUCUAAGAGAUCCAGAAUUUCAACAUAAUGUGGGAAAAGCAAAGAUGAACAAUUUCCAGUUACCUCAGCCUGAAGCCUUUAAUAAUGAAGAUGAGGACAGAUUGUCCGAGAUUUCUGCUCGCUCCGCAGCUUCUAGUCUCCGGGCUUUUCAAACUCUGACACGGGCUCAGAAAAGGAAGGAGAAUUUCUGGGGCAAAACAUAAACCUAUCUUGAGUUUGUUUUCUUAUGCACAGAACCAUUGGCAUAAUUUUCCUUAAUUGAUCACUAUGUUAGGAAUUUUUGAGUGAUUGAAUUUUCUUCUGGUAUUUCCAAGUUAAAUUAUUUGAUUUUUUUCAUUAGAUCGUUUUACUUGGAAAAUUUUAGCUUACACAAAUUUAACUUCUAAAAAAUUCUUUUAUGUCUCUCCCCAAAUACAAAGGUAGAGAUUAUGUAGUUCUUCACAUGUUCUUUCUUCUGUAUUAGGGGUUGGGGAUAGCUGGGAGAGUUGUGAAUUUCUCCUGUCCUGAGAAUAUUCUGAAGAGAUGAAGUGAAGUGAAAAAUUAAGAUCCAAAUGUGGA
rnacentral:lncRNA from 1 species